GAUGAAGAACGUAGCGAGAUGCGAUAAGUAAUGUGAAUUGCAGAAUUCAGUGAAUCAUCGAAUCUUUGAACGCACAUUGCGCCCAUUAGUAUUCUAGUGGGCAUGCCUGUUCGAGCGUCAUUAAGUCCACUUAAGCCCUGCUUAGUGUUGGGAGACUGCUCCAGCGGUGCUACCCUGUAGCUACCCUGCAGCUCCUCAAAGACAGCGGCGGAGUUGUGGUAUCCUCUGAGCUUAGUAACUUGUUCUAGCUUUCGAGUACACCACUUCCCCUGCCGUAAAACCCUUAAUUUUUAAUGGUUGACCUCGGAUCAGGUAGGAAUACCCGCUGAACUUAAGCAUAUCAAUAAGCGGAGGA
rnacentral:misc_RNA from 1 species